UUAUGGUUCAGAAAGAAGAGUUGUAUAAUUCUAUACUCUUUCAAGAAAACUGAUUGUAAACAAGCCCAAGAAUAAACUAAAGCUUUGCAUUAUAUUUUGAUGGCAUGACAAAUCAGCAGGAGAAAAAGAGGAUGUACUCUGAGUCUAGACAGACAUCAAAUCAGCUCUGCAUUUGGAAUAUAUUCCCAGUAAGAUAUUAG
rnacentral:lncRNA from 1 species